AGAGAUGCAGAUGGAGAAUUCAGAGCAUGGAUUGCAGGCAAGUUCAGUGCAAUUCAAGCAGCCCCACAUACCAAUGCUGAGAUUUGAAGAGCUAAGCUGCUAGGAUGCACCCUGGGAAAAGGCUUGUGCAAUGCAGUCCUAGAAAAACUAAAACCAAAGCUGGACAAAUGAUCUUCUUUGUCUAUUCACAGCUCAAAUCCUAUAAAAGACUAUAUCCAAGAGUACCAGAAAAACAGCAUAGGAGCUGAAUUUCCUACAUUCGAACUACCACUCUUUACUUGAUCUUAGCCAAAAGGCUUAGAGAUGAUCUCUCCAAACCGCUCUUGUCAGAAUCUGCCUGGAGACAGGGUUUCACCAUGUUGGACAGGCUGAUCUCAAACUCCUGACCUCAAGUUGUCCACCUGCUUCAGCCUCCCAAAGUGCUGGGGUUACAAAGCAUGUAUUCCUUCUAAUUAUAAAAAAGCAUCAAACUGCCUCAGGCAGUUCUUUCAGGAGGCAUCCAGAAGAAGGCAUUGUUAUCACAGGAGAUGAGAGCUCCACGGGUGUCAUUGCCCCUGCAGACCUUCCAGUGGAACAAGAUGUAGAGGCGGAAGACAGUGAUAUUGAUGAUCCUGACCCUGUGUAGGCCUAGGCUUAUGUGUGCAUUUGUGUUUUAGUGUUUAGUAAGAAAAGUUUAAAAAGUAAAAAAUAAUAAAAGCUUAAAAAUAGAAGAAAGCUUAUAGGACAAGAAUAUAAAGAAAGAAUUUUUAUACAA
ensembl:lncRNA LINC00366 long intergenic non-protein coding RNA 366